GACGAACGCUGGCGGCGUGCUUAACACAUGCAAGUCGAACGAAGAGCGAUGGACGCUUGCUUCUAUCAAUCUUAGUGGCGAACGGGUGAGUAACGCGUAAUCAACCUGCCCUUCAGAGGGGGACAACAGUUGGAAACGACUGCUAAUACCGCAUACGAUCUAAUCUCGGCAUCGAGGAUAGAUGAAAGGUGGCCUCUACAUGUAAGCUAUCACUGAAGGAGGGGAUUGCGUCUGAUUAGCUAGUUGGAGGGGUAACGGCCCACCAAGGCGAUGAUCAGUAGCCGGGCUGAGAGGAUGAACGGCCACAGUGGGACUGAGACACGGCCCAGACUCCUACGGGAGGCAGCAGUGGGGAAUCUUCCGCAAUGGACGAAAGUCUGACGGAGCAACGCCGCGGGAGUGAUGACGGCCUUCGGGUUGUAAAGCUCUGUUAAUCGGGACGAAAGGCCUUCUUGCGAAUAGGGAGAAGGAUUGACGGUACCGGAAUAGAAAGCCACGGCUAACUACGUG
rnacentral:rRNA from 1 species